UUAUGUGUAAUUGAUACACUUCUGUUGAAUAUUUACUUCAAAGAAAUUAUUUAGUGUCUUCGAAAAAGUCCGUUAGCAUCUCAACCGUUUUCAGAAGCGGUUGGCUAUAACUCUGUAUUUUGAGCUCUUAUUUAAUGAAAGUUUGGGCUUUUAAUCGCAUCUUUAUGUGUAGAUGAGAUGUUAUAAUAGUUUUGUAAAGGUUUUGCUGGCAAAUUGUUAAUGGUUGAUAGUAAACUAAUUUAUUUAAUGUUAAAGUUGCUGUACCGUUAAUCGGUGACGUCACUUACAUGGAGCGCGAAAAUUAACUGAAACUGUUUCAAACACGUUUUGAUCUCUAAUGGUAAACAAAUAUGGAUAAAAAUAUGUUCUGCAAUUUCAGGGGCGACAGAAAACCCCCUCUACAACAAAGGGGAAGCUGACAGAGAAGGAGGAAACACAGUUAAGAAGUCUUUGACAUACAAACACCCUUCCAUGCUGAUGGCCUCCUGCACCCCAGCAGAGCUGAGCGACCUCCUGUCAAAGCCUAUGAACCAGAUGACUAUAGUAAGCAAAACCUCAAACAUACAGUAUACUACUGUUGAAAAGUUGUGGGUCUGUAAGAUUUUUACAUGUUUUUGAAAGAAGUCUCACAUUUUAAAAUCAUUAACCCCAGGUUGUUUCAGUGAGAUUGUCUUUGAAAGGCCUGGAGGCUAAAUAAUCAGCUAAAUGAGGGAACAUUGGUGACAAAUAAAAUGUUAUAAUGCUUGUAGUUAUAAUCAUUUAUUUAACUAAUAUAACAGGAUAUCAUGGUCAUUAAUCUAUUUUAUUGUAUUUCUCUAUGUCUGUUUGUAGUUAUGUUUGCUAGUGAGACAGACGCCAUACUGUUCCACUCAAAGAUAAGAUGUAAUCUCUAGCGUUUGGUGCUGAGAUUCUUCAGGACAAGGCCUUGAUGCCAUUCACACUCAGUACAUAAAGAUG